rnacentral:sRNA from 1 species
GGCGCCACGAGGGGGCCGAGCAGGGUGCGGCGGCGGCGGGGCGCUCCGGGGAGGCCAGGACAGCUGAUGGUUGUGGCAGAAACAUCUCAAGGUAGCUGGUCCGCCCCCACUUCCCCAUCUACCUCUUGUCCUCCCCCCCACACCACCACCACCCUGGCUCCCCUCCCUCAUGACCGCCUGGAUCCUCCUGCCUGUCAGCCUGUCAGCGUUCUCCAUCACUGGCAUAUGGACUGUGUAUGCCAUGGCUGUGAUGAACCACCAUGUAUGCCCUGUGGAGAACUGGUAUGAAGGACUCUGCAGACAACCUUGCUCUAAAGCUUCCUUCAUCUCUGUCCCCUCUUGGGCCUGAGGCUGCCACGAGCCAGACUGCAACCCUGAGCCUCACUGCUCUUCUCUGAAAUUGGUCCCCAGGCAUGGCUUCAUGCCACCUACCCACUUCCCACUAUCCCUUUGCCCCUUUGGUUACUGCUUCAGGCGGGCACUGGGGAGUGGGAUCUUCUGUCCCUGUAGGGGAGGUCUGGGAGAGAGUCCUCUUUGAGGCCUGAGGCUAUAGGCCAAGGGCCUGGGGGCAGUCCCUUCCCCCAGUCUACUCCCUGUCCUGCCUGCCAGGUCCUACAACGAGUCCUGCCCUCCUGACCCUGCUGAGCAAGGGGGCCCCAAGACCUGCUGCACCCUGGACGAUGUCCCCCUCAUCAGCAAGUGUGGCUCCUAUCCCCCAGAAAGCUGCCUCUUCAGCCUCAUUGGCAACAUGGGUGCUUUCAUGGUGGCCCUGAUCUGCCUCCUGCGCUACGGGCAGCUCCUGGAGCAGAGUCGGCACUCUUGGGUUAACACCACGGCACUCAUCACAGGCUGCACCAACGCUGCGGGCCUCUUGGUGGUUGGCAACUUUCAGGUGGAUCAUGCCAGGUCUCUGCACUACGUUGGAGCUGGCGUGGCCUUCCCUGCGGGGCUGCUCUUUGUUUGCCUGCACUGUGCUCUCUCCUACCAAGGGGCCACCGCCCCGCUGGACCUGGCUGUGGCCUAUCUGCGAAGUGUGCUGGCUGUCAUCGCCUUUAUCACCCUGGUCCUCAGUGGAGUCUUCUUUGUCCAUGAGAGUUCUCAGCUGCAACAUGGGGCAGCCCUGUGUGAGUGGGUGUGUGUCAUCGAUAUCCUCAUUUUCUAUGGCACCUUCAGCUAUGAGUUUGGGGCAGUCUCCUCAGACACACUGGUGGCUGCACUGCAGCCUACCCCUGGCCGGGCCUGCAAGUCCUCCGGGAGCAGCAGCACCUCCACCCACCUCAACUGUGCUCCCGAGAGCAUCGCUAUGAUCUAAGGUCUGGGGAGGGUGGCUGGCCCGGCCUCCGCAGCACCCCACCCCAUAUCUUCUUUCCAUUUAUUUUGUACCAAAAACAAUUUUGAGAAAGUAUUCUGUUGGGAUCUGGGCUUCCUCACUUCUGGAGAAGUGGCCAUCCCAUGCCCACCUGUGCCAUAGAGGAGUGGGCCCUGCCAGCUGCCACAGCUGCAUGACCUGCUUCCCCACCCCACGGUGUCAUUUUGUUUUUAAAGGUCACCUGUCCUCACUCACCCAGCCAGCCCUUCAGGUGCCUUCUACUCCCAGUGCCAAAGCCAGACCACUGGGGUUUCCUGCUGCAGGAAUUGGGGGCUGGGAACAGCAGAGGGGAUAGAAGUCUGGUGGAGGUGGAGUGGGCACGCCUUAGCCUACGGAAAGGCCCAUUUCUGGGCCCACUGAGCUGCACGGGAUUCUUCACUCUGCCCCUCACUUCCUUUAGGGCAAAUAACACAGCAGAACCACGUGGGUAUUUUAGUACU